GAUGAACGCUGGCGGCGUGCCUAAUACAUGCAAGUCGAGCGAACGGACGAGAAGCUUGCUUUUCUGAUGUUAGCGGCGGACGGGUGAGUAACACGUGGAUAACCUACCUAUAAGACUGGGAUAACUUCGGGAAACCGGAGCUAAUAUCGGAUAAUAUUUUGAACCGCAUGGUUCAAAAGUGAAAGACGGUCUUGCUGUCACUUAUAGAUGGAUCCGCGCUGCAUUAGCUAGUUGGUAAGGUAACGGCUUACCAAGGCAACGAUGCAUAGCCGACCUGAGAGGGUGAUCGGCCACACUGGAACUGAGACACGGUCCAGACUCCUACGGGAGGCAGCAGUAGGGAAUCUUCCGCAAUGGGCGAAAGCCUGACGGAGCAACGCCGCGUGAGUGAUGAAGGUCUUCGGAUCGUAAAACUCUGUUAUUAGGGAAGAACAUAUGUGUAAGUAACUGUGCACAUCUUGACGGUACCUAAUCAGAAAGCUACGGCUAACUACGUG
rnacentral:rRNA from 1 species